ACAUGCACAAAGCGCUUAGGUCAGGUGAAGUAUUUGUUCUUAUCAGUUUAAUAUCUAAUACAGUCCCCACCCGAGGAUGAUCAAUUAAAUUGCUUUUUGGAGCAGGGAAUUGGAAUAAAAGCCUGCUCUGUCACUAUACUUUUUCUAAGAAAAUAAUGCAUCCAGAGUAUUACUAAGGAGACAAACA